GACGAACGCUGGCGGCGUGCUUAACACAUGCAAGUCGAACGAAGAGCGACGGAAGCUUGCUUCUAUCACUCUUAGUGGCGACCGGGUGAGGAACGCGUAAUCAACCUGCCCUUCAGAGGGGGACAACAGUUGGAAACGACUGCUAAUACCGCAUACGAUCUAAUCUCGGCAUCGAGGAUGGAUGAAAGGUGGCCUCUACAUGUAAGCUAUCACUGCAGGAGGGGAUUGCGUCUGAUUAGCUAGUUGGAGGGGUAACGGCCCACCAAGGCGAUGAUCAGUAGCCGGUCUGAGAGGAUGAACGGCCACAUUGGGACUGAGACACGGCCCAGACUCCUACGGGAGGCAGCAGUGGGGAAUCUUACGCAAUGGACGAAAGUCUGACGGAGCAACGCCGCGUGAGUGAUGACGGCCUUCGGGUUGUAAAGCUCUGUUAAUCGGGACGAAAGGCCUUCUUGCGAAUAGUGAGAAGGAUUGACGGUACCGGAAUAGAAAGCCACGGCUAACUACGUG
rnacentral:rRNA from 1 species